rnacentral:rRNA from 1 species
GACGAACGCUGGCGGCGUGCUUAACACAUGCAAGUUGAACGGAGAGGGCCUGCUCUUGUGGGAUGCUCGAGUGGCGAACGGGUGAGUAACACGUGAGUAAACUGCCCUUGACUUUGGGAUAACUUCUGGAAACUGGGGCUAAUACCGGAUAGGAACUCCUGCUGCAUGGUGGGGGUUGGAAAGUUUCGGCGGUUGGGGAUGGACUCGCGGCUUAUCAGCUUGUUGGUGGGGUAGUGGCUUACCAAGGCUUUGACGGGUAGCCGGCCUGAGAGGGUGACCGGCCACAUUGGGACUGAGAUACGGCCCAUACUCCUACUGGAGGCAGCAGUGGGGAAUAGUGCACAAUGGGCGGAAGCCGUAUGCAGCAUCGCCGCGUGCGGGAUGACUGCCUUCGGGUUGUAAACCGCUUUCGCCUGUGACGAAGCGUGAGUGACGGUAAUGGGUAAAGAAGCACCGGCUAACUACGUG